rnacentral:rRNA from 1 species
UACGUAGGGGGCAAGCGUUGUCCGGAUUUAUUGGGCGUAAAGAGCGUGUAGGCGGCCAAGCAGGUCAGCUGUGAAAACUCGAGGCUCAACCUCGAGACGUCGGUUGAAACCGUUUGGCUAGAGUCCGGAAGAGGAGAGUGGAAUUCCCGGUGUAGCGGUGAAAUGCGCAGAUAUCGGGAAGAACACCCGUGGCGAAGGCGGCUCUCUGGGACGGUACUGACGCUGAGACGCGAAAGCGUGGGGAGCGAACGACGG